rnacentral:ncRNA from 1 species
AGGAGCCGUGUGAGAUGAAUGACUCAUGCACGGUUUUGAUUGAGAGAAAGAUGUGAGGGAUCCUCUUUUUGACUCUGAC